rnacentral:rRNA from 1 species
GUGGGGAAUCUUGCGCAAUGGGCGAAAGCCUGACGCAGCCAUGCCGCGUGAAUGAUGAAGGUCUUAGGAUUGUAAAAUUCUUUCACCGGGGACGAUAAUGACGGUACCCGGAGAAGAAGCCCCGGCUAACUUCGUGCCAGCAGCCGCGGUAAUACGAAGGGGGCUAGCGUUGCUCGGAAUUACUGGGCGUAAAGGGCGCGUAGGCGGAGCGUUAAGUCAGGGGUGAAAUCCCAGAGCUCAACUCUGGAACUGCCCUUGAUACUGGCGAUCUUGAGUGUGAGAGAGGUAUGUGGAACUCCGAGUGUAGAGGUGAAAUUCGUAGAUAUUCGGAAGAACACCAGUGGCGAAGGCGACAUACUGGCUCAUUACUGACGCUGAGGCGCGAAAGCGUGGGGAGCAAACAGGAUUAGAUACCCGAGUAGUCC